GUUAAAAUAAUUUAAUAAAAAUAGUGGUUUUGUAAACCAAAAUUGGAUUCCCUUUUAAUA
rnacentral:tRNA from 1 species